ensembl:snRNA U2 U2 spliceosomal RNA
AUCGCUUCUCAGCCUUUUGGCUAAGAUCAAGUGUAAAAUAUCAUUUUCAGCUUUUUUAAAUGAUAAUAUCAGUGACACAAAUUAUUUCCUCUUGGACAUCAUUGUGGAGUUGGAUGUUGCAUUAGUUUCUUUUUCUUUCUCACAAUUCUCA